GGUGUGAGUAUGUUGCUCAUGAUGCUUUGCACUUGCGUAUGGAUUCUUUUCACUUUGAUUUGUUUUAGUUUUGUGCAGAACAUUUUUGGUGAUGCAUAGUGGAUGUGAUAGCAUGUUGAUAUUGGUGGCAUGGUGUAGAUGGAAUGAGAGUAUGAAAUGGUGCAAAGAUGUGAGAUGAUGCAGAGCUCGCGUGGGGCCAAAAUAAUUGGAUUUUCUUUUUUUUCUUUCUUUUUUAAUCCUUUUGUAUUUUAUUUAACAAUGCAAGGUAAUGAAAUAAAUGCUUUUUUUUUUUACUUUAUUAAGGUGAUGCACAAAUUAAAAAUGCUCUUUUAAUUCUAUAACAUGUAUAAUAUAAUGUAAAAAUGAUGUGUAUGAAAAAAAAAACAAUUCAAUAAUACAUUAAAUUUUACAAUUUUGGGAUAGAC
rnacentral:lncRNA from 1 species